GGAAGUAAAGGUCUAACAAGGUUUCCGUAGGUGAACCUGCGGAAGGAUCAUUAUUGUAUAACCGAGGUGCGAGGGCUGUCGCUGACCCGAAAGGUCGUGCACGCCCGAGUGCCCUCACACACAUCCAUCUCACCCCUAUGUGCACCACCGCGUGGGUCCCCCUUUGGCUUGUUCGGAGGGGGGCUUACGUUUUCACACAAACUUUGUAUGCAGUGUAGAAUGUAUUUUUUGUUUUUGCGAUCACGCAAUCAAUACAACUUUCAACAACGGAUCUCUUGGCUCUC
rnacentral:misc_RNA from 1 species